rnacentral:rRNA from 1 species
UACGGAGGAUGCAAGCGUUAUCCGGAAUGAUUGGGCGUAAAGCGUCCGCAGGUGGCUGUGUAAGUCUGCUGUCAAAGAGCAAAGCUCAACUUUGUAAAGGCAGUGGAAACUACACGGCUAGAGUGCGUUCGGGGCAGAGGGAAUUCCUGGCGUAGCGGUGAAAUGCGUAGAGAUCAGGAAGAACACCGGUGGCGAAGGCGCUCUGCUAGGCCGCAACUGACACUGAGGGACGAAAGCUAGGGGAGCGAAUGGG